CUGCAGAUCAAGACUCCAGACAGCUUUAGGCCAAUCCCUGCUGCCACAAUACAGUUUUUUCUCAGCACAUAAUAAGAGUGCAUUUUGUUCUUCCCUUCGGUAAAGUGCUUGAUGGAACUUCUCAGACUUGAAGAAAAGGGGGCAGGACUGCAAGCAAGGGGAGCAAAAUUGAACACGACCGCGAGGAGGCAAAAAUUACGACUUUUGUAAUUGGCGAUUUGGUCAGUAGGAAUCGAGGAUGAUAAUACUGCUGCUCCCUAUCCUGAACCACUGUCGGACCAAUUGGAUAAAUCCAAUGUUUUGGGAAGGUCUUCAGUUAUUCGAGUUUCCAGACCGCAAUGCGGGAUUUGAAGUGCCUGACACAUUUCCACCAUCACAUUUCGAUUCUGCAUCAGUAUCCAUCAAGAGUGGAAAUUUUUUUCUAUUUGGCUGGCUCCAAAGUAGCUGAACGAUGUGGUGCAGUAUGCCCUUGCGUUAUUCCUCACCUCAUGGAUUCAAGCAUGUCAUUCAGUCAAGAUACAAAAUUGGUAAAAGAGAGCCAUAAACAUUCAAGAAGUAAGUCAAGCAAAUAUCUGCAAAAAUUAUAGGAUCUAGGAUGUUUCGCUGGGGAAGGUACUUUCGAUGUAGGAUAAAUAGUUGUAUACACAAGUAAUAGUGAAGGUAAGCUCAACCGACUUUGUAGGCAUCUGACAUUUCUAAUGGACUAUCGACUAAAUGUCGGGAUCCAUUAAAAUGCCACCAUCUCUGAAACUUUUAAUACAUAUAUGCAACAAUGAUAACAGGACUGUCAAAAUAAUAUUUGGUGGGUGCAACUGUAACUUUCUAGUAUGUAUUAGUUGCUGGUGCUAUCAGUCCUCUGGUGUUUAAUGUCAAUGUGCAAUCUGAAUUUUCAGAAUGUGUCCUUCAGUCUAAAUCUUCAGACCUGUUUAUUUUGGCUUUGACAAACGAAUAUGAUAUUAUAGUCUAACUUGUCCAAUGUUCCAGAAGGACUUUGUGGGAGAUGCAAUCAAUACCAUGAGCCUCAAGGAUCGUAAGAAGCUAGAGGGCAAGCUCGAGAAAGGUGGCCUUUCAUGUUUCCCCUUGCACACACAAAGUGAAAUUUCCUAAUGCUGAUUUUGAACCCCACAAAUAGAUGGGUACAGUUAAACACUCAAGCAGAAGAUUAAAAGAAAUAGUUGAACUCCAAAAAAUUUAAUCUUACAUUUCAUUCUUUGUAGAAACGGAGGGAGUACCCUUCUCUGUUAAUCUAACCAAUAAAAGGGUUUGUUUCGAAUUUGUAGUAGAUUUUUCUAGAUGAACAUGCUGCAUGCUUCUCCGUUAGAAGAAUUGCAUUAUUGUAUUUGGGUACUUGGGUACUAUUGAGUCACAACUAGAAAGCUUAAUCCUUGUUCUUCUGUGUUCAAUGUGGCCGAACUUUGAAAGUGAUUACAGGUCUGGUUUGGUUCUUCUGAAUGUCAUUGUCGCACAGGAUAUAUGCACCUGUCUAUGACCAAUGUGUUUCUAUCAGCAAUGUCAGUAAAACGUAAAGUAUUUUUAGGAGUAUGGUGUUAUCUACCUACAGCACUAACUGUUAUGUUGCUCUAAUUGUCCCAAAUACAUGGAUCUGUAUAUCUAUUCUAAAGUAGGAGAUGGCGUAGAGGUGAAACUGAACAAAGGAAGCACACAUGUUUGACUAUCCCUUCCCAUGGGUUUUUUAUGGCACAUAGAGCUUACAUUAUAAAGUUGCAGUAAUAUGAAUAAAAGAUGUUUGAGGUGUGAAAAGCAGCCUUUCAUGGUGAGAAGCUAAUUAUCCCUAUGAUGUCUGGCUCUUAUGCUUGGCAAGAUUUCAAGCAUCAAUUGUGCUGCCAUUGCGUACAAGUGGGCUAACAGAGAAGAUUUUGGUGUACCCAGAGGCUGAGUGAGAAACAUGGAUGGAUCUUGCUACAUUUUUAGACCAUAUUUUAAAUUCUGGUGUUGCAUCGAAUUAGACCAUAUUUUAAAUUCCUGUACCAAUCAAUAAUUAAUAAUGAAUUAAGACAAGUUCAUACGGUGGCUCUGAAUAUAAUAUUUUUGUUAAAUUAUUAUUUUUAUUUU